CAGCCGCCGCGGGAAUACGGAGGGUGCGAGCGUUAAUCGGAAUAACUGGGCGUAAAGCGUGCGCAGGCGGUUCGCUAAGACAGAUGCGAAACCCCCGGGCUUAACCUGGGAACUGCAUUUGUGACUGGCGGGCUAGAGUAUGGCAGAGGGGGGUAGAAUUCCACGUGUAGCAGUGAAAUGCGUAGAGAUGUGGAGGAAUACCGAUGGCGAAGGCAGCCCCCUGGGCCAAUACUGACGCUCAUGCACGAAAGCGUGGGGAGCGAACAGGAUUAGAUACCCCCGUAGUCCCUGUCUCUUAUAC
rnacentral:rRNA from 1 species